rfam:[Candida] intermedia strain CBS 141442 genome assembly, organelle: mitochondrion
GCGGUUAUGAUGAAAUGGUAGACAUAGAACACUUAAAAUGUUCGGAUUAAUAUCGUGUAGGUUCGACUCCUACUAACCGUA